ensembl:snoRNA
UGAUGGCAGUGAUGAUUCCUAGAUGGUUGCUUUCCUGAUGUUUAGACAUGAGGGUGCACAGUCACUACCUCAUCUGAGCCAUCU